rnacentral:rRNA from 1 species
GUGGGGAAUUUUCCGCAAUGGGCGAAAGCCUGACGGAGCAAUACCGCGUGAGGGAUGACGGCCUAUGGGUUGUAAACCUCUUUUUUCAGGGAGGAAUCAAAUGACGUGUACCUGAAGAAUAAGCAUCGGCUAACUCCGUGCCAGCAGCCGCGGUAAGACGGAGGAUGCAAGUGUUAUCCGGAAUCACUGGGCGUAAAGCGUCUGUAGGUGGUCCAAUAAGUCAACUGUUAAAUCUUGAGGCUCAACCUCAAAAUCGCAGUCGAAACUAUUAGACUAGAGUAUAGUAGGGGUAAAGGGAAUUUCCAGUGGAGCGGUGAAAUGCGUAGAGAUUGGAAAGAACACCGAUGGCGAAGGCACUUUACUGGGCUAUUACUAACACUCAGAGACGAAAGCUAGGGUAGCAAAUGGGAUUAGAAACCCUAGUAGUCC